rnacentral:rRNA from 1 species
AUGAACGCUAGCACAGGCUAACACAUGCAAGCGAGGGCAGCAUGAUCUUAGCUUGCUAAGAUUGAUGGCGACCGGCGCACGGGUGAGGUAACGCGUAUCCAACCUGGCCCUUAGUAGGGUAUAGCCCGGCGAAAGUCGGAUUAAUGCCCUAUGUUCUCCUUUGAAGGCAUCUGAGGAGGAGCAAAGAUUGAUCGCUAAGGGAUGGGGAUGCGUCUGAUUAGGCAGCAGGCGGGGUAACGGCCCACCUGGCCAACGAUCAGUAGGGGUUCUGAGAGGAAGGUCCCCCACACUGGUACUGAGACACGGACCAGACUCCUACGGGAGGCAGCAGUGAGGAAUAUUGGUCAAUGGGCGCGAGCCUGAACCAGCCAAGUAGCGUGCAGGAACCGACUGCCCUAUGGGUUGUAAACUGCUUUUAUGCGGGGAUAAAGUGCGGCACGCGUGCCGCUUUGCAGGUACCGCAUGAAUAAGGACCGGCUAAUUCCGUGCCAGCCGCCGC